GACGAACGCUGGCGGCGUGCCUAACACAUGCAAGUCGAGCGAAUGAAGUUCCUCCGGGAACGGAUUUAGCGGCGGACGGGUGAGUAACACGUGGGCAACCUGCCUCAUAGAGGGGAAUAGCCUUCCGAAAGGGAGAUUAAUACCGCAUUAAGAUUGUAGUACCGCAUGGUACAGCAAUUAAAGGAGCAAUCCGCUAUGAGAUGGGCCCGCGGCGCAUUAGCUAGUUGGUGAGGUAACGGCUCACCAAGGCGACGAUGCGUAGCCGACCUGAGAGGGUGAUCGGCCACAUUGGGACUGAGACACGGCCCAGACUCCUACGGGAGCAGCAGUGGGGAAUAUUGCACAAUGGGGGAAACCCUGAUGCAGCAACGCCGCGUGAGUGAUGACGGCCUCGGUGUAAG
rnacentral:rRNA from 1 species